rnacentral:lncRNA from 1 species
AGAGGUAAUUAUGUCACUGCGUUUUCUCGCCGUGACAGCCGAAUAAACACGAUCUCCAAUAAACAUCUCUAAUGAGGGAGGAGGCCCGAGGAUGACGGGGUUUGAUUUAUGACUGGAGGAGAAGGUCCACUUCCCACUGCGAAGCGGGCAACCUGCUUGCCGCCCAGCUCCGGAGAAAGGAAACCGCGGAGGAGAGAACCAAGGCCCAGCUCCCCUCCAGGACCUGGUCCAGCCCGCGGC